rnacentral:rRNA from 1 species
AUUGAACGCUGGCGGCAUGCCUUACACAUGCAAGUCGAACGGCAGCGCGGACUUCGGUCUGGCGGCGAGUGGCGAACGGAUGAGUAAUGUAUCGGAACGUACCAUUCAGUGGGGGAUAACGCAGCGAAAGUCGCGCUAAUACCGCAUAUUCUGUGCGCAGGAAAGCAGGGGAUCGCAAGACCUUGCGCUGAUUGAGCGGCCGAUAUCAGAUUAGCUAGUUGGUGAGGUAAAGGCUCACCAAGGCGACGAUCUGUAGCGGGUCUGAGAGGAUGAUCCGCCACACUGGAACUGAGACACGGUCCAGACUCCUACGGGAGGCAGCAGUGGGGAAUUUUGGACAAUGGGCGCAAGCCUGAUCCAGCCAUGCCGCGUGAGUGAAGAAGGCCUUCGGGUUGUAAAGCUCUUUCGGCCGGGAAGAAAUCGUAUGGGUUAAUACCCUGUGCGGAUGACGGUACCGGCAUAAGAAGCACCGGCUAACUACGUGCCAGCCGCCGCUGUAAGAC